rnacentral:rRNA from 1 species
GAUGAACGCUGGCGGCGUGCCUAAUACAUGCAAGUCGAGCGAACGGACGAGAAGGUUGCUUCUCUGAUGUUAGCGGCGGAAGGGUGAGUAAAAUGUGGAGAACCUACCUAUAAGACUGGGAUAAGUUCGGGAAACCGGUGCUAAUACCGGAUUAUAUUUUGAACCGCAUGGUUGAAAAGUUAAGGACGGUCUUGCUGUCACUUAUAGAUGGAUCCGUGCUGCAUUAGCUAGUUGGUAAGGUAACGGCUUACCAAGGCAAGGAUGCAUAGCCGACCGGAGAGGGGGAUCGGCCACACUGGAGUGAAGACACGGACCAGACUCCUACGGGGGGCAGCAGUAGGAAAUCUGCCGCAAGGGGCGAAAGCCGGACGGAGCAACGCCGCGUGAGGGAGGAAGGUCUUGGGCUCGUAAAACUCUGUUGUUAGGGAAGCACAUAUGUGUAAGUAACUGUGCACAUCUGGAGGGUCCCUAAGAAGAAGGCCACGCCAACCUACGU